UAUUUAAUUUUUUUUAAAGCCUUUCUUUAAGUAAUAAAAGAUGAACCCUCGGCGCUCUGUUCAAACCGCGUUGGCUCAAUACUCCCCUUCGCCUGCGGCGCGCGGUGACUUAGAAGCCCCGGGCCGGCGCUGCUGGAAGACAGCGGCCCCCAGGCUCUGCCUUCGCCGCCUCGCAUCCCAAAUGAGGUCACGGUAGCUGGUGGCUGAAGCCUUCAAAGCCCCGCUCCCGGAACUGGCAUUUACUGGAGUUCGGGUUUCAGAAGGAAUCUGACGGCUUCUAAGGCCCCUUAAAAUCACCACGACGCGCCGACGCCUCUACCCAUCAGCUAUUCGCUUUGUUAAGGACGGGAGGGGAAAGGCACGGGGGAGAGACACAGCCUACAUUAUUUACACGCUCCGACUCCAGGCGCGUUUGGCAGAGCUUUGCAAAGCUAACCCGGGCGGGUGCUGGGCAGGACUGGCUCGGUGAAAGGACGAAGUCGUCCAUGGAUGAUCCUUCUCAGGAUACUAGGGUUCAGCAACCGAUGAAGUGAGCUGUAACUCCCGAAAGCUCAUGCUCAAACAAAUUGUUUUGCAGGUUGCGCAAGUCUGUAGCCACGCCGCUGAUCCGCUCCUGUUUGCACCAGAUCAUUCUGAAUGGAACUCACCGAUUCACGCUCCCAGAGGCCUCACCGCGGGAAGGAACUUGCAGUGCUUCAGGCUCACUACCUGGACACAUGGCUUUCCCCCGUCACCUCCAGGUGCCAGAUCUCUUGGUGCUGCAGAUCAGCUAAAAAUUUGGAAGCACUCCCUCUCUCUCUCUCUCUCUCUCUCUCUCUCUCAAUUUUUUAAAAAAAGAUGUUUGACUCAAGUUAGCUUAAAAUGGCUAAGAAUAAAAAACCGCACAAAUGUUUAUUUCAACUUCCCAGGGCCGCCCUGUACUGAAGCCCAGGCUGCGGAAGCCUCUGUAGCAAUGGAGUGGUUUAUUUAAUUUGUCAGUAUAAUAGAAGCCGCUGAAUGAGAGACAGAGAAUGCAGUGUGGUAUAAAAGAAACAAAGGCUAAAAGUACCACUAUUUUGAUUCCCUUUUUAAAAUUACUUCCAAAGUGUGGUAUCUAUUGUGAAGAAUAAUGCUGAACAAAGCACAGUGUCUUGGCAAUAUUCACAGACCUCAUUCACAGAGCCAGUUCUGUCUGUACAUUCAGAGGUAGAAUACACUUAUAAAUGAUGCAUUGGAAGGACUAUAGUUUCUAUUGUAUUCCCAGUGUAAACAAAAAGACAGACAGAAGCUGAAUGGCAUAUGGGCAGCGAGGCCACACUUGAUUCAUCCAUUCCAGCAGCAUUGUGAAGGUAAAAUGUAAUGCUUUAUAAACUUUAAAUCAGGUAAACAAGUUUGUUUGUUUUUCCAGAGUAACUCGACAGAGCUUGUGAUUGUGUACGUCGAAAUGGCUCAUUAAAAAAUAAAUAAAAGGAAGACAGUUUUGAUCCGCAAAAGAAUCUCACAGGGGAAAGUUUUCGAUCUUUCCCAAAGUUAUUCCGAAUGUAAGAAGGAGGGGGCCACUGGACGCUGAUGGCCGAGUGGUGGUCUCCCCUCUCUGCUAACGGAAUGACUGUUCUAAUGUAGCAAUAAGAUCUCAGAGGCAGAAGCCAAACUGGUCUGGGGGUCCCGCAGAUCUAGUUUCUCUUUUGCAUUGCUCCUCAGUACAGCACCCCACUAGGAAAGUGGAGGCCUGGGUCCUCCAAGUUCAGCAGCAAUCACAGACUGCUGCCUGCGACUAAAAAUAAGAGAUCAGCAACCUUGCCAGCUGAACGUAAACUGCCUCUAGGCAGUGUGCUACAAACCAGGCUCUGUCCUUCUUUGUUUAUUGCCAGAGAAAACGUCUUUACAGUGUUUGGGAGGGAAGGGGAACCACUCACGUCACGUGGAAGAAAGCUUAAAAAAUAUGUAUGUCCCCUUCACUUAUUUUCCUCCCUUGCUCAGCUUAAUUCAGGAAGUUCUAGUUUACCUCCCCCCUCUCCUGUUACACUUGAUGCUAUUACACAGAAGCUCACGUGCCGAAAUUCUGCUCACUGGAUGGAAUCUUGCAGAAGAUAUGACUGUAUGUAAUAUAUAGUCUGCUUUAUACACACCGUGCGGUGGAAUUCAGAGUAAUCCUUGCAGUGAUCAUGGAGCAAGUCUGACUUUCCAAAAGCCUUUUUGCUAUUAGCACUGAUGUGUUGCUUCCUCCCUUACCGUGAUCGCUGUGGAUUUGGUUCUAAGGAUCAGCUUAGAAAUUAUUUAUUCGUUUUCUUCAAUAUUUUGCUUAUAACAGAGUACCCCUCAAGGAGAAGUUCAGAUGGCACUAAGCUGUAAGCAAAGACUUGAGGUUUGGGACGUGCCAGUUGGAGUUGGAGCCACUUGGAGCUAAUUAUAGCUUGACUGAACUACCAUAGUACUACAACCUCUGGCAGAAUUUACUUAGUUCAGACAUCAGAGAGAUACCGAUCCUCUGAUGUUUCCGGUGUAGAUAAGUCACUGUUUUAUGGAUCUGGAUAGAGUGGUUGUUUGAGUAUAAUGAUCAAAAUGGAAGUUACUCAAAUUGAUCAUCAAAACAGAAUUUUACUGUGUGAUAUGCUAAUAGCUAUGUCUAAUGUAUAUCUACACCCUUUUUAAAAAAAUAUGUCUCACAAGCUAUAUGUCUUUAAAUAAAUCUGUAAAUUUUCCUCAUAGAUGCAGGAGAAUGGGGUCUGUUUUUCAGUAACUAAAACAAUGUUCUGUAUUUCCAGGUACAAAUAAAUAAAUGGAUAAUUAAUUA